rnacentral:rRNA from 1 species
AUACGGAGGAUCCGAGCGUUAUCCGGAUUUAUUGGGUUUAAAGGGAGCGUAGGCGGAUGCUUAAGUCAGUUGUGAAAGUUUGCGGCUCAACCGUAAAAUUGCAGUUGAUACUGGGUGUCUUGAGUACAGUAGAGGCAGGCGGAAUUCGUGGUGUAGCGGUGAAAUGCUUAGAUAUCACGAAGAACUCCGAUUGCGAAGGCAGCUUGCUGGACUGUAACUGACGCUGAUGCUCGAAAGUGUGGGUAUCAAACAGGAUUAGAUACCCUGGUAGUCCACACAGUAAACGAUGAAUACUCGCUGUUUGCGAUAUACAGUAAGCGGCCAAGCGAAAGCGUUAAGUAUUCCACCUGGGGAGUACGCCGGCAACGGUGAAACUCAAAGGAAUUGACGGGGGCCCGCACAAGCGGAGGAACAUGUGGUUUAAUUCGAUGAUACGCGAGGAACCUUACCCGGGCUUAAAUUGCAAAUGAAUGUUCUGGAAACAGAUCAGCCGCAAGGCAUUUGUGAAGGUGCUGCAUGGUUGUCGUCAGCUCGUGCCGUGAGGUGUCGGCUUAAGUGCCAUAACGAGCGCAACCCUUAUCGAUAGUUACCAUCAGGUUAUGCUGGGGACUCUGUCGAGACUGCCGUCGUAAGAUGUGAGGAAGGUGGGGAUGACGUCAAAUCAGCACGGCCCUUACGUCCGGGGCUACACACGUGUUACAAUGGGGGGUACAGAAGGCAGCUACACGGCGACGUGAUGCUAAUCCCUAAAACCUCUCUCAGUUCGGAUUGGAGUCUGCAACCCGACUCCAUGAAGCUGGAUUCGCUAGUAAUCGCGCAUCAGCCACGGCGCGGUGAAUACGUUCCCGGGCCUUGUACACACCGCCCGUCAAGCCAUGAAAGCCGGGGGUACCUGAAGUGCGUAACCGCGAGGAGCGCCCUAGGGUAAAACCGGUGAUUGGGGCU